rnacentral:rRNA from 1 species
UCGGAUUUACUGGGCGUAAAGGGCACGUAGGCGGUUAAGCGUGUCGAGUGUGAAAUCUCCGGGCUCAACCCGGAAAGUGCGCUCGAAACUACUUGACUAGAGUACGGGAGAGGGAAUCGGAAUAUAGGGUGUAGCGGUGAAAUGCGUUGAUAUCCUAUAGAACACCGGAGGCGAAGGCGGAUUCCUGGAACGUAACUGACGCUAAGGUGCGAAAGUCGGGGGAGCAAACAGGAUUAGAUACCCUGGGGACCCGACCUUAAACGGUGCAUACUCGCGGUUGGGGGAUUUCACCCCUCCAGUCGCUUAGCUAACGCGUUAAGUACGCCGCCUGGGGAGUACGGCCGCAAGGCUAAAACUCAAAGAAAUUGACGGGGGCCCGCACAAGCAGAGGAGCAUGUGGCUUAAUUCGAUGCAACGCGAAGAACCUUACCUGGAUUUGACAUGUAUCUGCACGGCUUAUGAAAGUAGGCUUCCUUCGAGGGUGAUACACAGGUGCUGCAUGGCUGUCGUCAGUUCGUGCCGUGAGGUGUUUGGUUAAGUCCACCAACGAACGCAACCCCUAUGAUCCGUUGCCAUCGGGUAAUGCCGGGAACUCAGAUCACACUGCCUGUUUACGCAGGAGGAAGGUGGGGAUGACGUCAAGUCAGUAUGGCCCUUACAUCCAGGGCUGCACACGUGCUACAAUGGCUGGUACAGAGCGAUGCGAGACCGCAAGGUGGAGCAAACCGCAUAGAGCCAGCCUCAGUUCGGAUUGGGGUCUGCAACUCGACCCCAUGAAGUCGGAUUUGCUAGUAACGGCGUAUCAGC